UACAGAGGUGGCAAGCGUUGUUCGGGAUUACUGGGCGUAAAGGGCGCGUAGGCGGUUCGUUAAGUCCUGUGUGAAAUCCCCCGGCUCAACUGGGGAACUGCACAGGAAACUAGCGGGCUUGAGUUCGGGAGAGGGAAGCGGAAUUCCGGGUGUAGCGGUGAAAUGCGUAGAUAUCCGGAGGAACACCGGUGGCGAAGGCGGCUUCCUGGACCGACACUGACGCUGAGGCGCGAAAGCUAGGGGAGCGAACGGG
rnacentral:rRNA from 1 species